CUACGGGUGGCAGCAGUCAAGAAUCUUCCUCAAUGGGCGAAAGCCUGAAGGAGCGACACCGCGUGCAUGAAGAAGCCUUUCGGGGUGUAAAGUGCUUUUAUAUGUGACGAAACAAUGACGGUAGCAUAUGAAUAAGGGGCUGCUAACCUCGUGCCAGCAGCAGCGGUAAUACGAGGGCCCCAAGCGUUAUCCGGAUUUAUUGGGCGUAAAGCGUCCGUAGGUGGUUUAUCGCAUCUCCUGUUAAAUCUCGAGGCUCAACCUCGAGCCAGCGGGAGAGAUGGACAAACUAGAGAUCGGAAGAGGCAAACGGAAUUGCUGGUGUAGGGGUUAAAUCCAUUAAUAUCAGCAAGAACACCAAAUGCGAAGGCAGUUUGCUAGGACGAAUCUGACACUCAGUGGACGAAAGCGUGGGGAGCGAAUGGGAUUAGAUACCCGCGUAGUC
rnacentral:rRNA from 1 species